GAUGAACGCUGGCGGCGUGCCUAAUACAUGCAAGUCGAGCGAACAGAUGAGGAGCUUGCUCCUCUGACGUUAGCGGCGGACGGGUGAGUAACACGUGGAUAACCUACCUAUAAGACUGGGAUAACUUCGGGAAACCGGAGCUAAUACCGGAUAAUAUAUUGAACCGCAUGGUUCAAUAGUGAAAGACGGUUUUGCUGUCACUUAUAGAUGGAUCCGCGCCGCAUUAGCUAGUUGGUAAGGUAACGGCUUACCAAGGCAACGAUGCGUAGCCGACCUGAGAGGGGAAUCGGCCACACUGGAACUGAGACACGGUCCAGACCCCUACGGGAGGCAGCAGUAGGGAAUCUUCCGCAAUGGGCGAAAGCCUGACGGAGCAACGCCGCGUGAGUAAUGAAGGUCUUCGGAUCGUAAAACUCUGUUAUUCGGGAAGAACAAAUGUGUAAGUAACUAUGCACGUCUUGACGGUACCUAAUCAGAAAGCCACGGCUAACUACGU
rnacentral:rRNA from 1 species